rnacentral:rRNA from 1 species
GACGAACGCUGGCGGCGUGCUUAACACAUGCAAGUCGAACGGAAAGGCCCUGCUUUUGUGGGGUGCUCGAGUGGCGAACGGGUGAGUAACACGUGAGUAACCUGCCCUUGACUUUGGGAUAACUUCAGGAAACUGGGGCUAAUACCGGAUAGGAGCUCCUGCUGCAUGGUGGGGGUUGGAAAGUUUCGGCGGUUGGGGAUGGACUCGCGGCUUAUCAGCUUGUUGGUGGGGUAGUGACUUACCAAGGCUUUGACGGGUAGCCGGCCUGAGAGGGUGACCGGCCACAUUGGGACUGAGAUACGGCCCAGACUCCUACGGGAGGCAGAAGUGGGGAAUAUUGCACAAUGGGCGGAAGCCUGAUGCAGCAACGCCGCGUGCGGGAUGACGGCCUUCGGGUUGUAAACCGCUUUCGCCUGUGACGAAGCGUGAGUGACGGUAAUGGGUAAAGAAGCACCGGCUAACUACGUG